rnacentral:tRNA from 2 species
GGAGAGAUGUCCGAGAGGCUGAAGGAGCACGACUGGAAAUCGUGUGUAUGCCCACAAAGGUGUACCGGGGGUUCGAAUCCCCCUCUCUCCGCCA